rnacentral:rRNA from 2 species
UACGGAAGGUCCAGGCGUUAUCCGGAUUUAUUGGGUUUAAAGGGAGCGUAGGCGGAUUGUUAAGUCAGCGGUUAAAGGGUGUGGCUCAACCAUGCAUUGCCGUUGAAACUGGCGAUCUUGAGUGCAGACAGGGAUGCCGGAAUUCGUGGUGUAGCGGUGAAAUGCUUAGAUAUCACGAAGAACUCCGAUCGCGAAGGCAGGUGUCCGGGCUGCAACUGACGCUGAGGCUCGAAAGUGUGGGUAUCAAACAGG